rnacentral:lncRNA from 1 species
CUGGUUAUUACUGUACUGACUGAGGUCUAUAGGGGUCUGGUUAUUACUGUACUGACUGAGGCCUAUAGAGGUCUGGUCGUUACUAUACUUUAGACCGAGGCCUAUAGGGGUCUGGUCAGAAGUAGUGCACUGUAUAAGGAAUAGGAUGCCAUUUGGAACCCUGGGAUUCACUCUGAACAAUGGAGAAGAUAUCUCAUCUUCCUCUUUCUCUACCCGGCUCUUCGUCCAACUCUUCCUGUUCUCACUACGUCCCCUGUGACAUCAUACACAGAGAAGAAGGGUGGUUGAGAUAGUGACAGUGUAAUACUCUACUGUCGUGGAAACAGGAAAUAUGUUUAUUCUGUGCAGUAAGACUAUUGGAAGUGUUGUUGGGAGAUUGUGGGAAAAGGCCGCACUUGACCUUCGAGCUCGAAUCAUUCCCAUGGUGAAUCACUAGGUCCACUACACUAUGAAACAACACACUAUCGAAUCAUUCCCAUGGUAAAUCACUAGGUCCACUACACUAUGAAACAACACACUAUUGAAUCAUUCCCAUGGUGAAUCACUAGGUCCACUACACUAUGAAACAACACACUAUCGAAUCAUUCCCAUGGUGAAUCACUAGGUCCACUACACUAUGAAACCACACACUAUUGAAUCAUUCCCCUGGUGAAUCACUAGGUCCACUACACUAUGAAACAACACACUAUUGAAUCAUUCCCAUGGUGAAUCACUAGGUCCACUACACUAUGAAACCACACACUAUUGAAUCAUUCCCCUGGUGAAUCACUAGGUCCACUACACUAUGAAACAACACACUAUUGAAUCAUUCCCAUGGUGAAUCACUAGGUCCACUACACUAUGAAACCACACACUAUUG